AAUCGAUGCAACAGAUAGCGGACGAGCAGAGGAUGGACGGGAUUUAGCACCAGCAUGUAAAAAGGCUUCUAUUACUCACUGAUCAAGGAUACAACUAAAGUGCCGAUAUCAAGCACUAGAAAGCAAGCAGUACAAAUCAGAAGUCGCAGAAAGUGAUGCAAUACAAAAGGCAGAUCCAUGUUACAUCCUUACAUCAUGGCACAUGGCAUCACACGGCAUCAGAGUACACACACAAGUCCUGGGUUGUAUGUGACCGCAUGUGAGAAACGUUUCAUAAAGAGAAGAAAGAUGAAUACAGGGUUCUGCCUUAAUAGUGAAUUUGUAUUA